AUCGCAUGCUCCUCUGCUCUGAUGGGAACCAGUCAGACUGGACCGUGCAGCAGCGACCCCGGGUCCGGUUAUCCAGUAAGAGCAGCUUCAUGGGGCGGAUCUUCAUAUUCUUCUGGGGUGUUUUUCACACGUCUCGUCAAGUCUGUGAUGCAGUUACAGUGCCCCGGUCUCCAGUGAUGUCACCUCCCGGCAGUGAUGUCAUUCUCAGUCGCUCUUUCUCCUAUAAAGCGGGGGCUGAUCUCAGCAGAUUGAUGAUUACCUGGCAACACCCUGACAGCACAGGAGGCAUUCACAGCAGGAGCACAGGGGGGUAGAGGUAUUCACAGCAAGAGCACAGGGAGGUAGAGGUAUUCACAGCAAGAGCACAGGGGGGUAGAGGUAUUCACAGCAAGAGCACAGGGGGGUAGAGGUAUUCACAGCAAGAGCACAGGGGGGUAGAGGUAUUCACAGCAAGAGCACAGGGGGGUAGAGGUAUUCACAGCAAGAGCACAGGGGGGUAGAGGUAUUCACAGCAAGAGCACAGGGGGGUAGAGGUAUUCACAGCAAGAGCACAGGGGGGUAGAGGUAUUCACAGCAAGAGCACAGGGGGGUAGAGGUAUUCACAGCAAGAGCACAGGGGGGUAGAGGUAUUCACAGCAAGAGCACAGGGGGGUAGAGGUAUUCACAGCAAGAGCACAGGGGGGUAGAGGUAUUCACAGCAAGAGCACAGGGGGGUAGAGG